GCGCAGCAGGCGCGAAAGCACGAUAAGGGAACUCUGAGUGCCUCCUAAGGAGGCUGUUCAGGUGUCUAAAAGCACCUGAAGGAAGGGCUGGGUAAGACCGGUGCCAGCCGCCGCGGUAACACCGGCAGCCCAAGUGGUAGCCACGUUUAUUGGGUCUAAAGCGUCCGUAGCCGGCUGGGUAAGUUCCUUGGGAAAUUUGGCUGCUUAACAGUCAAGCUUUCAGGGAAUACUGCCCGGCUUGGGGACCGGGAGAGGUCAGAGGUACUCCAGGGGUAGGGGUGAAAUCCAUUAAUCCUUGGGGGGACCACCGGUAGCGAAGGCGUCUGACCAGACCGGGUCCGACGGUGAGGGACGAAGGCUAGGGGCGCGAACCGGAUUAGAUACCCCCGUAGUU
rnacentral:rRNA from 1 species